rnacentral:lncRNA from 1 species
UUGAUCUCCAUAAAAAACAACCAGUUAAAAAAAAAAAAGACAAAGCCACACUGAGACGCUCGAUAACUGUUUGACUCCAGCUCAUCAGUUUCUGCAACGAGUCUAAAGCUCAAAUGUUAACCUGCAGAUGCCAGGUCUCCAUGUUUCCACAGGCCUGGGAUGGAGAGGGAAGAGUUAAUAGUCCAUCAGGGAGCUGAGGUCUUUGAUUGUGAUCACAUUGAUAAUUUUCCUUCCAUUAAGAUGUUGAAGCCUUGUGGCUGUUCUAAGGAUGACAGUAACACUUUAGUAAAUAAUGGUCUCUCCUGGCAUAAAAAUGCUGUAUUGUGACGGUAAGAAAGGAAAAAGAGAGAGGAGCUUGGCCUCUUACCCCUAUCUGCAUGCGCAGUGCUGCUGUCCCUGGUGCUGAUAUUUUCAUAGGCACACACCGUGGACCAUGGCAGAAUUUCCAGGAACGCUAGAUGUAUUUGUACUAUUUUUAUGUCUACUGAUUGAAAACUGAACAAAGGAAGCUGUUCACCAUUUGAAGAGGCCAUCACAAUGCUCAGAAGAUGAUCAAAGAAGCUACUUAAGAAUAACAUGCUGCCUUUUUAAAAAACCAAUGCCCACGCUGAACUCAGAAUGGUAAUGAGCUCAGGCAGGAGCCCAACUGAGACCUCCACGGCCGUCCCACCCAGCUGGGAUAUUUGCAUUUUAUACAAACCAUUUUAUGAUGCUAUAAAUUUCACAUUUUUAUAGUUACAGGUCUUAAUCAUCAUGAAUACCAUUUCUGCACGUAUCUUUGGUAAACGGAAUUAAAAUCUCCUCAUGAUCUGAAAAUGCUAAAUUGUUAAUAGCUUUUCUAGGGCUCUGUGGCUUGUUUUGACCUCUGAUGAUUUCAUCAUUGUUUCUGCAUAUAAAAAUCACAAUUU